UACGUAGGGCGCAAGCGUUGUCCGAAAUUAUUGGGCGUAAAGAGCUCGUAGGCGGCCAGUUGCGUCUGCUGUGAAAUCCCGGGGCUCAACCCCGGGCGUGCAGUGGAUACGGGCUGGCUAGAGGCAGGCAGGGGAGAACGGAAUUCCCGGUGUAGCGGUGAAAUGCGCAGAUAUCAGGAGGAACACCGGUGGCGAAGGCGGUUCUCUGGGCAUGUCCUGACGCUGAGGAGCGAAAGUGUGGGGAGCGAACAGG
rnacentral:rRNA from 1 species